GCGUCGGUGGUAUAACGGUUAGCAUAGCUGCCUUCCAAGAAGUUGACCCGGGUACGACUCCCGGCCGACGCA
rnacentral:tRNA from 1 species